GACGAACGCUGGCGGCGUGGAUUAGGCAUGCAAGUCGAACGGUAGGAUACUUUCGGGUAUCUGAGAGUGGCGAACGGGUGAGUAACACGUAGGUGAUCUACCCUCAAGAUUGGGACAACCCAGGGAAACUUGGGCUAAUACCGGAUGAAAGCAGCAGUGAUGUUGUUUGAAAGGUGGCGUAAGCUGCCGUUUGGGGAUGAGCCUGCGCUCUAUUAGUUAGUUGGCGGGGUAAAGGCCCACCAAGGCGAUGAUAGAUAGGCGGCCUUAAUGGGUGGUCGCCCACACUGGGAUUGAGAUACGGCCCAGACUCCUACGGGAGGCAGCAGUCGAGAAUAGUCUACAAUGGCCGAAAGGCUGAUAGUGCGACGCCGCGUGAACGAUGAAUCCCUUCGGGGUGUAAAGUUCUUUUAUAUGUGAGCAGUGCUUCUUAUAUUAACAGUAUGGGGAGAGAGAUAUUAGCAUAUGAAUAAGCAACGGCUAACUCCGUGCCAGC
rnacentral:rRNA from 1 species